rnacentral:rRNA from 1 species
CGCCUGGGGAGUACGGCCGCAAGGUUAAAACUCAAAUGAAUUGACGGGGGCCCGCACAAGCGGUGGAGCAUGUGGUUUAAUUCGAUGCAACGCGAAGAACCUUACCUACUCUUGACAUCCUGCGAAUUCGGUAGAGAUACCUUAGUGCCUUCGGGAACGCAGAGACAGGUGCUGCAUGGCUGUCGUCAGCUCGUGUUGUGAAAUGUUGGGUUAAGUCCCGUAACGAGCGCAACCCUUGUCCUUAUUUGCCAGCGCGUAAUGGCGGGAACUCUAAGGAGACUGCCGGUGACAAACCGGAGGAAGGUGGGGACGACGUCAAGUCAUCAUGGCCCUUACGAGUAGGGCUACACACGUGCUACAAUGGUCGGUACAAAGGGUUGCCAACUCGCGAGAGUGAGCCAAUCCCGAAAAGCCGAUCUCAGUCCGGAUCGGAGUCUGCAACUCGACUCCGUGAAGUCGGAAUCGCUAGUAAUCGUGGAUCAGAAUGCCACGGUGAAUACGUUCCCGGGCCUUGUACACACCGCCCGUCACACCAUGGGAGUGGACUGCACCAGAAGUGGUUAGCCUAACGCAAGAGGGCGAUCACCACGGUGUGGUUCAUGACUGGGGUGAAGUCGUAACAAGGUAACCGUA